UACGUAGGGUGCAAGCGUUGUCCGGAAUUAUUGGGCGUAAAGAGCUCGUAGGCGGUUUGUCGCGUCGAAUGUGAAACCCGGGGCUCAACCCCGGGCCUGCAUUCGAUACGGGCAGACUAGAGUUCGGUAGGGGAGUCUGGAAUUCCUGGUGUAGCGGUGAAAUGCGCAGAUAUCAGGAGGAACACCGGUGGCGAAGGCGGGUCUCUGGGCCGAUACUGACGCUGAGGAGCGAAAGCGUGGGGAGCGAACAGG
rnacentral:rRNA from 1 species